rnacentral:rRNA from 1 species
AUUGAACGCUGGCGGCAGGCCUAACACAUGCAAGUCGAGCGGAUGAAGGGAGCUUGCUCCUGGCUUCAGCGGCGGACGGGUGAGUAAUGCCUAGGAAUCUGCCUGGUAGUGGGGGAUAACGUCCGGAAACGGGCGCUAAUACCGCAUACGUCCUGAGGGAGAAAGUGGGGGAUCUUCGGACCUCACGCUAUCAGAUGAGCCUAGGUCGGAUUAGCUAGUUGGUGGGGUAAAGGCCUACCAAGGCGACGAUCCGUAACUGGUCUGAGAGGAUGAUCAGUCACACUGGAACUGAGACACGGUCCAGACUCCUACGGGAGGCAGCAGUGGGGAAUGUUGGACUAUGGGCGAAAGCCUGAUCCAGCCGUGCCGAGUGUGUGAAGAAGGUCUCCGGAUUGUAAAACACUUUAAGUUGGGAGGAAGGGCAGUAAGUUAAUACCUUGCUGUUUUGACGUUACCAGCAGAAUAAGCACCGGCUAACUUCGUG